GGCACCAUUUCUUCUUCUUUAUUUUGGAAAAAAUACCCCUCGUGGGUGACGCAUUACACAAAUAUUGUGCAAGCGAAUUGACUUACCCCUCCCGACGUUUUGACAGUUUUGUUAUUUUGUUUCAUCUUUUCGCGUUUGUUUUGCUCAUUUUGUUUUUCGGUUAUAAAACAACAACUGGUCACUGUCACCAAUCCAAAAGUGUAAUUAUCACAACAGAAGCUUUUCGGAUGCAGCGAUCAAAAUGAUGAUUCUCCAGGACCGCCAACUGGCGAUGAUCUCUGCAGCCGCAAAGAACGAAUCAGAAUUUAAAGAGGAGCCUACGUAUUGCAAUAAUAGAACUAGCAGCAGUCGUGAACCGAUAAGUACUUCUCGGACCACAGCAAUUCCGGUAACACCCCCAACAGCAACGAACAUUUUACAACCUAUCAUAUCCAAGAAUAUCAUUUUGGACUAAUCUGGCAUUAAUUUCGGUUGAUUGGCGCGACAAAGAAGACGGUCCAGUUUACAUGAUAAAUGAUGUAUUGGUGGAACCAAAAACCAGAGCCUA